rnacentral:rRNA from 1 species
AUUGAACGCUGGCGGCAGGCCUAACACAUGCAAGUCGAGCGGAGCGGCGGACGGGUGAGUAAUGCCUAGGAAUCUGCCUGGUAGUGGGGGAUAACGUCCGGAAACGGGCGCUAAUACAGAAUAUUAUAAGAUGAGCUUAGGUAGUAUUAGCUAGUUGGUGGGGUAAGGGCCUACCAAGGCGACGAUCCGUAACUGGUCUGAGAGGAUGAUCAGUCACACUGUGACUGAGACACGGUCCAGACUCCUACGGGAGGCAGCAGUGGGGAAUAUUGGACAAUGGGCGAAAGCCUGAUCCAGCCAUGCCGCGUGUGUGAAGAAGGUCUUCGGAUUGUAAAGCACUUUAAGUUGGGAGGCGUUACCAACAGAAUAAGCACCGGCUAACUUCGUGCCAGCAGCCGCGGUAAUAC